UACGUGGGGGGCAAGCGUUGUCCGGAUUUAUUGGGCGUAAAGAGCGUGUAGGCGGCUUGACAGGUCUGCUGUGAAAACUCGAGGCUCAACCUCGAGAUGUCGGCGGAAACCGUCUGGCUAGAGUCCGGAAGAGGAGAGUGGAAUUCCUGGUGUAGCGGUGAAAUGCGCAGAUAUCAGGAAGAACACCUAUGGCGAAGGCAGCUCUCUGGGACGGUACUGACGCUGAGACGCGAAAGCGUGGGGAGCGAACAGG
rnacentral:rRNA from 1 species